CUAGUUAAUUAAAAUGGACCGGAGUAGCAGAUUGCAUAAGAUUGAAUAAUAAAUUCCUCUAUGAUGGCCAAAUUAGUAGCGCUUAACUAUCUUUCUAUAAAGGCGUAAUGGCUUCCUGGGCACUUAAACUUGUAGGUCUUUUGAAAGCCAAUACACGAAUUUUGGAUUUUCCCAUUUGAACACUCCAACUUGACAAAAUGGGUACUAAUAAACACAUCCACCAGAGCGUGUAUAUCAAUUGCGCUGACAUGUACAACACAUCGUGCUAAGCUAUUUAUUACUUGCCCUGUGUUAUUUGUGGGUCCUAUUUUAAAUACAAAAUCAGAAAAAAAUAGUUACAAGUACAAAAAAGGAAAAGAAAAAAAAAACGCCUGAAACAUACCAGUAUUAAUCUGUACCCAACCGCCCCCUUCUUCUUCAUUCACCCUCCUCCCUUCCUUUCUUUACUCUUCUUUCUUCUCCUUUCUCUUUUUCUUCAUUAUUCUUUCUCUCUUAUUUCUAAAUCAAAUUUACAAUAUCACCAUGGCCAUGAUUAGACCAUAACCAAAAAAAAAAAAAAGAAUUUGGAAUUUCAAAAAAAAAAGACAGAAAUCCAUGGUUUUGAAAGUGGAGGUCGCCCAAUAUCAUUGCAAACUUGCCUUUUUUUGCUAUUUUGACAAAAAUGAAUUCGAUGAUAGAACAACGACAAAGCUCAAGCUUUCUUCCGACCACUUGUUGUUGAGGAAUGUUGGGACGGAAAUAGUGGGUGGAGACUAGAAAAAAUUAUUGAAGGGGAAGAUGAAGGGAAAAAAACAGAGAAAGGGGAGGGGGAAGAGAAACCAGGAUGAGAAUGAAAAAAUUGGGUGGGAGUUUUGCGGGGAAAACGAAAGAAUUGGAAGGGGAGGGGAAAAGAGAAGGGGAAAGGGAAAAGUCUUUUUUUUUCUUUUUCAUUUUUCUUUUUUAUUUAUAUUUUAUUCUAAUUCUAUUUUUUUUAAGUAAAAACAAUACUAUUCACGUGUCUUGGUAACGUGAUUUGCACACAGUUUAGCCAUGUCAGUUGCAGUGCUUCCACAUAGGCAUGAUCAAUGGUCAAAAGUAUUUAUUAAUACCCAUUUUGUCAAGUUUGAGUGUUCAAAUGGGAAAAUACAAAGUUCGUGUAUCGGCUUUCAAAAACCCUAUAAGUUUGAGUGGCCAGGAAGCCAUUACGCCUUCUAUAAACUACGUCUAUACAAACCGGUAAAAACUUACCCCUUCUCCCUCUCAAAUCCCUCAAUUUUUAACAUAUUCUUUUUUAUCUCCUAAAUUAACAUAAUUAAAUCCAAAUAACUUCUACUGUUACAUGGCUUGAUCAAAUCUGAAUUAGUAAAUUCGUUUUUUUGCAAGCUUGGAUGGACAGUAUUAUUUUUAAAUAAUUAAAUUGGACCAUAGUGGCACCAUUCCUCAAUGAAGUAAUCCAUAUGCUAGGUUGACCUUUAAACGCUUCUUAUUUUAAUACUUGGUCAUGUUCUUUUGCUAUUUUCUUUUGCGGGUUCCUCUAGGAUAUGCCCCAAAAUUCAAUACAGAGAUUUGAUUGAUGGGGUUCACUUGCAUAUUUGAGGUUCACAUGAACCCAUAUCCAAAUGGAAGUUAUGCGUUUUCCAGGCUCCUAGUGAUAAUUAAAGGUUUUCAAAUGAGUUGAGUGAUGUUAUGUUUUUCCUUCGAACGUUCUGGUAUUUGGACCAACUUAUACGUACUCUGGACUAAUUCUAUUUGCAAUUAGGUUUCUCUUAUUCAUGAUAGCACAACUACUUUGCUAGAGGCUUGUUGAGCUGAGUUUAUAUUGGUUUUGAGAACUAACAAACAUUUAUGAAAGAACCAGAUCCCUUGUAAUUCGUUGAUCAGAAGCUGAAAAUUGUUUCCUAGUACAAGUCGUUGGAUUAAGCUAAAAUUACACAAAGAUUCUGCCAACCUCACUCCAACAUAAAACAUCAUGUUACCUCUCUAUGGGGGUAACGCUUCGAACGUUAUUUUACACAAUCACAACAAAUUACCCUUGGCAAGUAGUAAUUUACAACAAGAAGGUGCUUUUAAGGAUUCAAGCUGUUCAACUGAAGAACCUUUUUUAGAAGACGAAGCUGCUAAGUUCUUUUGUUGUUUAGGCUGAGUUACUGUUCUUUAAAUUGUAAUAUAUUUGCUUUUGAGAAGUGUAAACGUAGAUUAUCAAGUUCUGAAGAGUUUGCUUAGCUUUCUAGGCUCGAGAGUUCAUAGUCUUGAAAUUAAAGAGGUGGUUACAAUUGAGUUGAUUGUAGGCGUUAAGGUACUAGAGGUAGUUCCUUUGGUUAUUAAUUGGAGUUAGUGAAGUUUUGAGGCAAAUCCCACGAAGGUAGGUCGUGCUUUUAUUCCUUUGAGCAAUGAGGUUUUUCAUAUAAAAUUGCUUGUGUACUUUAAUUUCAUGCAGUUUACUUUUAGUUUUGUAUCAGAAUAGUUAAGUCAAAGAACCAGAUUCUCUAACACGCUGACACAAUUUUCUCCCUCUUUUAUGUAUGUGCAAACUAAAAUAACAAGAUCGUGUCCUCCUUUAACCUGCUGGAGAAUUUUCUUUGAGAGGAAGCUUGAGGAUAUUGGCCAUCAUUGUUGAGGUUGAUCAUUGGGGACAUUGCUUUAGGAAUUCCCUGUAUUUUCUUUCUUGUUUCUCUUACAGAGAAAAGUAUCAUUAGCCUAGGUCGCCUAUCUCUAAAGGGCAAGAGUAGUGUCUUUCUGGUGGUAAUAAUUGCAAACUCUUCCCAUUUUGUCAUUUACACUCGCUUUGUGACACGGCAUAGAUGUUUGAAACCUACAGCUCCAUCAAAAUUAUCUAGUUACAUGCAUAGAACUCCCAAAUAUGAAGUUAGUCCUAGUAGUUGUUUCGAUUAAAGUAUAUAUAUUUGAAAGUACAAGAGGGGGGUGCAUUGUUUAUUUUAAAACUUAAUCGCUGUUAGUUGACUGGUUUUUCAAUUAGUCGACUAGAUGUAAUAACUAACAGUUGUAAUAACAGAAUAUAAGAUGCUGAAAUUAAAUGCCAGAAUUAAAGACACCAGAAUAUUUAUACUGGUUUGGAUUCAAUGUGAAUUCUAGUCCAAUCCCCUUGGGCUGCAAAGGAGGUCUCUUUAGUGAAUGAGUUUCUUCGAGUACAUCUGAAGGAAUGAAAGUAGCUGAUAUUAGGACGUUUACUUUUCCAUAGUUCAUAAGGAGUCUUCUUCAGAAUGGUUCUUAUAAGACAUCGGUUGAGAAUGUGAUAUGUUGUACUUACAUCUUCUGCCCAAAAGUGAUUCGGCAGUGAAUGAUCUAGUAACAUGGUUCUUGCCAUGUCUUGGAGGGUUAUGUUUUUCCUCUCAACAACCCCAUUUUGUUGAGGUGAUCGUGGUGCAGAGAAGUUAUGAGUGUAUUCCUGAUCAUUACAGAAGUCUUCAAAUGCUCUGCUUUCAAAUUCUCCUCCAUGAUCACUCUGGAUUGUUGUAAUUAGAUAUCCCUUUUCUCUUUCAACCUUUUUGCAGAAAAUCUCAAAAUUUCUCAAUGCUUCAUCUUUAUGAGAUAAGAAAAUCACCCAAGCGAAACGUGAAUAAUCAUCAAAAAUAACAAAAACAUAUCUUUUUCCUUCUAUAUAGUAGUUCUAGUAGACCCAAAUAAGUCCAUAUGAAGCAAUUGCAAAGGUUUAGAAGUAGAGACAAUAUCUUUAUUUUUGAAAGAGUUUCUGGUUUGUUUACCUAUUUGACAGGCAUCACAGAUAUGAGUUUUAGAAAAAUUCAGUUUGGGUAGACCAAUAACUAACACAUGCUUGGACAAUUUUUCUAUCAAAUGCAUGCUUGCAUGACCAAGUUUCCUAUGCCAUAACCAUGGAUCAUCAGACAUGGAUGUUAAGCAAAUGUGACCAUCUAUCUUUUCAAAACCAUCAAGAAUAUAAACAUUUCCAUACCUUUUACCUGGGAGGACUAUUUUACCUGUCUCGUCUUCAAUAGCACUGCCUGUUUUCUUAAAACUUACCUCAUAUCCUGAGUCGCAUAGUUGACUUAUGCUCAGGAGAUUGUAAUUGAGUCCAUCAACGAGAUAUACUUCAGUGAUAUCACAGUUGUUAUUGAAGGGAAUUAUUCCCUACCGAUUAUCUUCCCUUUUGAGUCAUCUCCAAAUUUGAUGCUUUCUCCAUCAAUUUUUGUAACUUCUUUGAACAGGUUUUUAUCACCUGUCAUGUGAAUGGAACACGCACUGUCUAAGUACCAUUUUCCUUUGCGGCUAAUUCUAUGGUGUUCCUGCAAAACAUAAUGAUUACUUUCUUUUUGGUACCCAAGCUUGCUUGGGUCCUGGAGGGUUAGUAUUACUAGGUUCAGAAAUGUUUUUUUGUUUCCAAACCCAUCCUGAAACAUUUGCUUUACGAAAGUGACAAAAAGAAUAUUUGUGUCCACUUUUGUUACAGUAGUGACACGUAACUCCUGACCCAUUUUUAGGUCUUUCAUUAGUGUAAGUACUAGUGGACUCUGUUCUAGAUGCUCCUUUUCCAGUUGACUUGUAAGUCGCCUGGUUUGAGCUGACAGAACUAUGACUAUUGGAUUUGCGCAUGCCAUUGAGUUGCAUUUGCAAUUCCUCAAACUGUUCUUGAAGUACUUCUUUUUCA
rnacentral:lncRNA from 1 species